rnacentral:piRNA from 1 species
UACUUUAAUGUGCUCAGCCUACCGAGGAC